rnacentral:misc_RNA from 1 species
AUUUUCUCCUAUAAAUAGUUGAUGCCUAAAUGGCGCUGAUCUAGGUACGUUACUGGAAGGAACGGAGCGUCGCGUGUAUCUUAUCAACGUCAUACAAUUUUAUGGUCGUAUAACGGAACGUACUUGUCAUCAACAAUUAAAAAAAUAGAAAAUAGGGAAUCAAAAUGGAAUAAAAGGAGAAAAUAAGUCAGUCAGAUUAGUAUCCGAAUAAUUCUUAGCUCGAUGGAAUGCCCCGAAAGAUGGGCCGAUUGAUCCUUGUUCGUCAAAAACUUUUUGAUGCAUUUGAAAGCAGUUAUCAAAAGCUUUGAUCCCAAUAAUCGAGGAUGGCUCACCAGUGGACAAAUGCGCAGGGCUUUUAGGACACUGGGUCUUCCUCCAAUGGAAACUUCAGAUGAAAAAAUUCCAAGUGAUGUAGUUCUGAAUAAUUUGAGAUCUACUCAAGAGCACGAGCUCUAUCAAUUAUUGGUCGCAGGAGUAAAGAAGGACGAUUUAUGUCCAUAAAAACACAUACAUAAUGGUACAUAAAAAAAACUUUAGUUUACCGUAGAUUUAAUUGGAUUAGUUGAUAUGUUUAUGGAAUAAUUUAACUUAAGUUUGUUAUAUUUACUAAGUAAUAAACAUUAAAAUAUGUUCUUACAUUAUUCUUUUCAUAUUUUUAUUAAAGUCUAUAAA